rnacentral:tRNA from 1 species
UAGCUCAGUUGGUAGAGCAAUGGAUUGAAGCUCCAUGUGUCGGCAGUUCGACUCUGUC